GACGAACGUUAGCGGCGCGCCUAAUACAUGCAAGUCGAGCGAGAAAGGGAUUCGUCCCCAGUAAAGCGGCGCACGGGUGAGUAACACGUAGGUCAUCUACCCUCGGGUGGUGGAUAACAUUCCGAAAGGAGUGCUAAUACAGCAUAACACCGCAAGGACAAAGCGGGCCUCUCUAUAGAAGCUCGCACCUGAGGAUGAGCCUGCGGCCCAUCAGCUAGUUGGCAGGGUAAAAGAUUACCAAGGCUAAAACGGGUAGCUGGUCUGAGAGGAUGAACAGCCACACUGGAACUGAGACACGGUCCAGACUCCUACGGGAGGCAGCAGGAGGGAAUCUUGCGCAAUGGGCGAAAGCCUGACGCAGCGACGCCGCGUGAGUGAUGAAGGCCUUCGGGUUGUAAAGCUCUGUGGGGAGAGAAGAAUAAGUGCAAGCUAAUACUUUGCAUGAUGACGGUAUCUCCUUAGCAAGCACCGGCUAACUCUGUGCCAGCAGCCGCAGUAA
rnacentral:rRNA from 1 species